AAUUCUCAACUACUUUAUGUGCCCUUUUGUUGAAAUACCCUGCGUUGGACCAUUUUUUGGAAAUCGACCCGCGAUGACGAAGUAUUGUCGUUUUAUCUGACAGCGUGAGGUUAAGAAGUUCAUUUCUAAUUUUGUCUUGUGGCAUAUUAGAAAUGAUGCUUUUUCGAAAAUCGUUCGCUUACAACGGAUAAAACGACUUCUGAGUGGU